GAUGUAUAAUGCCUGUGGACUUCCUAAAAGUCAAGAAUGGCAUCAGUAGUUACAACGACUAAAAAAAAAGGAACACAUUGUACAACUGGAAAAGAGGUAAUGGUUAAAAUACUUAUUUCAGGCUGGACAUGCAGCAGUGAUGGUCUCAAAGGAGGAGUUUUGCUGCUUUCUUGUUUCCUGAUAUGGAGCUUUUAGAAAGAAAAAAA